rnacentral:lncRNA from 1 species
AGUCACUGUACACAAACACAGGCUUAGUGCAUUGUACCUUACCCUUUCUGGGAUACUGAGGCACUACCAUCAUGCAACUGAAUAGCAAUUUGUGCAGAGUAAAAUCUUCAUAGCAACAGAUUGAAAUAGGACAACAAAGGCACUGAAACAAUAUGUUCUUCCAAAGGUACAGAGAGUUUUCUGCUUAAGAUUUUAUUUUAGCUGUGAAUUUUUUGAAGCCCAGAAAAUUUCAGGACAAAGGUUUCUAGUCUUCAUGUGGAUUCUGUUGUGUUUCUGUUUUUAAAAUAGGUAUUCUGAACAGCACAAAGCAUUAAUCACUAAAGCUGUAUGUGGCUGAUGAAACCCUGCAGGAUAUUUGGAUUCUUCCCGUAAUUACUUCAUUUCUUGCUGUGGACUCAGGACUUCUAAAAAAAGAGACAUGGAGAAAGACAAUCAAGCAAACAGGACAAAUAGUGGCCAGUAUACGUCUGAGGAGCUGUGACGCACCACAGGAAAACUACAGAGCAAGCUUGGGUGAUGAGAAUGACCAACCCUAUCUUUGACCUUUAGUCAGUCUUUAUAAUUAUUGUGAUUUUCUUUCAUUUUAUUGUGGUUUUUCAAAAUGUAUCUACACUGUACAAAUGUUGUUUUCCUCCGUUAAAAGAAUUCAAACAAACAAGCUAAAAAACCAAGCUAAAAGCACAACCCCAAAUCUUGAAACUACAUAUUAUUCCUAGCCAUGUGUUCAGAAGGAAGAAAACAAAUGAAGCUGACCGUGUUACUACGGUGUUUCAACUAAGCCUGUCAAUCCAACAAGUGCCUGUUACUGUCUACACACCUACCAAGACAAACACGUAUGACCUCCAACCAGUCGUGCUCCUGGAAAGCUGAUGGAAGUACUGUGCUUAUUGGGUCUUGACACCUGGGUUUUCUUGCCUGUGAAGGGUUCCUGCUAAAGUGAAAGACAAACAGAAGAUCUAAAGCUGUAAAAUCUGUCUCUCUGACAGAAAUUGUAGCACAUCCAGAGACUACACCAAUUCAACAACCCUAUCCACAAAAAUAAUGAUUAAAUAUCAACUACUUACCAAAGCAGUGUAUUUAAAAUACUUGAGGACUGUUCACAGAAUGAUAUAAGAGCAGUGACAAAAAAAAACCUCCACUCACUCUGAGCCCAGAGUGAGUAACAGCCUUUUUCUCCCACCAACAUUACGCAUGUCCUAGGAGAAUAGGACAGAUUCUGCUACAUGACUCAAAGGCUUUCAGGUGACUAUGGGAGAGAGGAUGGAUUUGACACUGCAGUGUCAGGAAGGAAAGGGUCAUUGAUUAUACUCAGAUAGACAGAGAUACAUACUCUGAUACUUGAAACUGAGCUCCAUUUAAAUUGCAGUUCUGGUUUCACAGCAUCAACACAAUUGAGUCAUUCUUGAAUGAAAAC